rnacentral:rRNA from 1 species
UACAGAGGAGCCAAGCGUUGUCCGGAUUGACUGGGCGUAAAGCGCACGCAGGCGGCACCGCGCGUGGGGUGUGAAAUCUGGCCGCUUAACGGCCAGGCGCCAUCCCAUACGGCGGAGCUGGAGUGAUGCAGAGGUCGAUGGAAUUGCCGGUGUAGUGGUGAAAUGCGUAGAGAUGGCGGAGGAACACCGAUGGCGAAGGCAGCCCCCUGGCUGACACUGACGCCUCAGGCACGAAAGCGUGGGGAGCAAACAGG